rnacentral:rRNA from 1 species
GGAUUAGGCAUGCAAGUCGUGCGGCAGCAGGCCCCGCAAGGGGUGCUGGCGAGCGGCGUAAGGGAGAGUAACACGCGGGUACCUACCCUCAGGACCGGGAUAGCUGCGGGAAACUGCAAUUAAUACCGGAUGAUGUCUCCGGACCAAAGGUGUAAUUCCUCCGGAGGAGGGGCCCACGUCCUAUCAGCUAGUUGGAGAGGUAACGGCUCACCAAGGCGACGACGGGUACGGGGUGUGAGAGCAUGCCCCCGCUCACUGGGACUGAGACACUGCCCAGACACCUACGGGUGGCUGCAGUCGAGAAUCUUCCGCAAUGGGCGAAAGCCUGACGGAGCGACGCCGCGUGCGGGAUGAAGGCCUUCGGGUUGUAAACCGCUGUCAGUGGGGAGCAAAUGCACGGGGGUUCUCCCUUGUGCUUGAGCGAUCCGCAGAGGAAGCGCAGGCUAAGUUCGUGCCAGCAGCCGCGGUAACACGAACUGCGCAAACGUUAUUCGGAAUCACUGGGCUUAAAGAGUUCGUAGGCGGCGCGUUAAGUCGGGUGUGAAAUCCCUCGGCUCAACCGAGGAAUUGCGCCCGAAACUGGCGUGCUUGAGUAAGAUAGAGGUGAGCGGAACUGAUGGUGGAGCGGUGAAAUGCGUUGAUAUCAUCAGGAACACCGGUGGCGAAAGCGGCUCACUGGGUCUUAACUGACGCUGAGGAACGAAAGCUAGGGUAGCGAACGGGAUUAGAUACCCCGG